UUCCGUCACUUUUCCCCCAAUCUCUGUUUUCUUUCCAACUCUUCCUAAUUUCCUUUUAUUUACGAAAUACGAAAUCUUGCAGUUGAAGAAUACAACGGUUUUAGCUUUUGAUUUCGACUGAAGCCUCCUUAUUCUAUCAAUUUAAUGGCUCAACGUCGGCCACUCAAAACCGUAGCGGAUGCAAGUAGGGAUUUAAUAAGUGAGCUGCCAGUAGAGGUAAUGGACAGAAUUUUGGAGUGUUUGCCCACCCGAGACGCCGCCAGAACUGCUCAGCUCUCAAGGCACUGGAAUAAUGUUUGGUUGCAGCAUGGGCGGCUUGCGUUUGAUUGGGAAUUCUUGCUGACUGUCCAAGAGUGCCAAGAUGAUUAUGGUAGAGCGCUCAUGAACAUAAUCAAUAAUAUCCUCUUUUCCCGUGCUUGGCCGGUUAAGAAAUUUACUCUACAGAUUUCAUGUGCUGAUCCUAAACCGCGGCAGUAUGAUGUUGAUAGGUGGUGUCGUUUUCUGUCAACGAAUGGUGUGGAGGAACAGAACAUAUCUUUAUAUAAGUAUCUAGAGCCAAAAUAUCAGUUGCCAUUUUGUUUACUCUCUUGCAGCAUAAUUAAGCAACUGAUAGUCCAAGGUCCCUUUAUUGAUUUUCCUGUAAAUGCUUGUGAUAUAUUUUCCAAUGUCACUUCAUUAGCUUUCUUGCAUGUUGAAUUUAAGCACAGUGUUGAUGGAAUUGCCUCUAGUAUUAGUAUUCCUAAGCUUGAGAAGCUGGCUUUUGAGCAUUGUAUAGGGAUCAGUGAGUUUGAGAUCAGCCCUCCAAAGCUUGCAAUUUUGUCUGUUAUUGGUUCUAUGUAUGGUCUGGUUGAAUGGACGAGAUGGUUGGCACCACAUUUGAAAACCAUUAAGAGUCUUUGGUUGUGUGGCUCUUCGUUGUCGUGUAUGGAUGCAUCUACGUUUCCAAUUGCAAUAAAUCUGCAAGUGAUGAAGCUAUAUGAUUUAAAUUUUGGUUGUUGGAAGCAGCUCGCCUUUGUUAUGCAAUUGCUUACAAAAUGCCCCAACCUAUGUGAACUGCAUGUUAUGGUGAAUAAGGGCUGGGAGGAUGAUGACAAAAAAGCUGCUUCAAGGCUUUUGGAGGAUCCGGAUGGUUGCUUAGCUAUUCAGGAGCUAAAGAUUCAGAUGCUUAACACAAUCCAGAUUGAAUCAUUCAAUGGAUCUGCAUUCGAAAUGUUUUUUAUGAAAUUGCUGCUCUCAAAAUUCCCUGCGCUAGAGAGAGUUGUUAUUAUGAAGCGUUGGGAUAUGAAUGCCUCCAAGGUGAGAAAAAUCCAAAGGAAGUUGGAAUGCUUCCCUCGUGUAUCUCCAAAUGCACAAAUUGUCUGCCCGGACAAUUACUAUGAGCCUAUGCAUAAGGACUGGUUGGAUACCCAUGGUUUUAGGCUUAUCCACCCUUAUUAGUAUGGCGAAUAUAAUCUCCAUAUGUACAAUUUGGGUGCAACUUUGAAAUGUAAGGAAUGGUUUGUUGGAAUUUGAAAUGUUUUCUAAGUUGUUCAGCAUGAGGUAU